rnacentral:rRNA from 1 species
UAAGGAAUAUUGGACAAUGGGCGAGAGCCUGAUCCAGCCAUCCCGCGUGCAGGAAGACUGCCCUAUGGGUUGUAAACUGCUUUUAUAAGGGAAGAACGGCUACGAUUUAUCGUGGUAUGACGGUACCUUAUGAAUAAGCACCGGCUAACUCCGUG